AUUGAACGCUGGCGGCAGGCCUAACACAUGCAAGUCGAGCGAGCGGCGGACGGGUGAGUAAUGUAUGGGGACCUGCCAGAUGGCGGGGGAUACCUACUGGAAACGGUAGUUAAUACCGCAUACCAUCAGAUGAUCCCAUAGGGGAUUAUCCAGUGGGUGAGGUAAAGGCUUACCUAGGCGACGAUCCAUAGCUGGUCUGAGAGGGUGAUCGGCCACACUGGGACUGAGACACGGCCCAGACUCCUACGGGAGGCAGCAGUGGGGAAUAUUGCACAAUGGGCGCAAGCCUGAUGCAGCCAUGCCGCGUGUAUGAAGAAGGCCUUCGGGUUGUAAAGUACUUUCAGUCGGGAGGCGUUACCGACAGAAGAAGCACCGGCUAACUCCGUGCCAGCAGCCGCGGUAAUAC
rnacentral:rRNA from 1 species